rnacentral:lncRNA from 1 species
AGGAGGAGCGGGCACCGCUCGAUCUGGCGACCCUUGGCGAGUGGGAUGCAGGGAGGCUGUAACGACUAAGAUGCGACCCUUUCCUAUUUUGGGGGCGAGGCCUCAAAAGGGAAGGGGCGCAUCUAAACGUUUCGCAAGCGAGAUAAUCAUAACAUUACAUAAUUGAAAGAGUGACAAGUAGGGCAUACACUUGCCAUCUAAUAAGAGUAUAGCAUUAAGCUUACACACACACUUAUUCAGAACAUAGUUUAGUCCCGCUACGGACAACAUGAAAUGAGUAAAACUAUGACAUCCCGCAUGCUGGCCCCACGAUCACGACCACGGCCUCAGUCCUCUGGAUAGUUCACGUACAGACGGCCAGAGUCCUCAUCAAACUCCCACUUCAGCUGGUUGUCAUUAGGAUC